rnacentral:rRNA from 1 species
UGGGGAAUCUUGCGCAAUGGGCGAAAGCCUGACGCAGCAACGCCGCGUGGGGGACGAAGGCUCUCGGGUUGUAAACCCCUUUCAGCAGGAACGAAAUUGACGGUACCUGCAGAAGAAGCCCCGGCCAACUACGUGCCAGCAGCCGCGGUAAUACGUAGGGGGCGAGCGUUGUCCGGAUUUAUUGGGCGUAAAGAGCUCGUAGGCGGUUUGGUAAGUCGGGUGUGAAAACCCCAGGCUCAACCUGGGGACGCCACCUGAUACUGCUAUGACUUGAGUCUGGUAGGGGACCACGGAAUUCCUGGUGUAGCGGUGAAAUGCGCAGAUAUCAGGAGGAACACCGGUGGCGAAGGCGGUGGUCUGGGCCAGUACUGACGCUGAGGAGCGAAAGCGUGGGUAGCAAACAGG